rnacentral:misc_RNA from 1 species
CCCAAAAUCUCUUUUUUGGUGAUGUAACGUUAGGCUUGCCAAUCAUUUUUUUGAUCGGUCUUGCUUGGAAUGAUAUCAAUUCCAGUCGGAUCACCUUAUUCUUCAGAUCAGGCUUUGGUAGACUACCGAAAGUCGCGUUUGAACGGAUUUAGGCCCGAAUUGAUGGGAUUUUUAAACAUUUUCAAU